UCUGUCUUUCUUUCUUUCUUUCUUUCUUUCUUUCUUUCUUUCUUUCUUUCUUUCCUCGAGUGGGCCCACAAGCUGCGCAUGGAUGCUCGUGCGUCCAUCAUCAAAGUGGGAGAUUCUCCACCUGACGUCAACAUUGACGCAGACAAGGUGCUUUUCUUUUUGCCAUUUUGUUAAAUAGAUACAAUGGUGUUGGAUAGCAUUUGUAUGAAUGGCAAUUACUGUUGCUUUGUUUGAUUCAAGAAGCAAAUUAUAAAGUUGAAUAAACGCUGGUUCGUGCACGCAUCUUGCUUUGUAAAUCUCCAGAAGAUGAGCAUGCAUUUCCACACAAUGUGUUGUGUGCUCGCGCAAUAACCAUGCACGAGAGAGAGGAUUGGAUGGGGGUUGAGGAGGGUAAAGAGGCGGUGGGGGGGUGAUGAAGGCUUCACGCACGAAAUUCCUCCAAGGAACCUCUGCGAGCUUUUCUUUUUUUCUUCUUUUUUUUUCAUCACGCGCGUGCUAAAAAUAGAAACAGGGUUGGAUCGUGAUCCAGAAAUAGAUAGGGGGCAUCACUCCUAUAAAAGGCACACCAUUCAAGAGUACAGUGUGUGCACAGUAGGAAGAACCGAAAACCACGAGCACAUUUUAAAGCAGCGACCAGUUUUAUUUGGUCUUUUUUUUCCUGCAUGGUGACACUCCUCAAUCUUGCAUGGUUUGCAACAUACUUUUGGAGAUGAUGACUCUAGCUGCCCGAACCAUAAGAAGCACAGAAUCGGGAUGCUGCAAAAAGGGCCAGCCAGCCCCAUCUUUUUUAUGAAAGGGGAGACGGAGUGAUACAGACACGCUCUGAGGGUCCCCUGCUGGAAUUAAAACAGGGAACACCGUGUGGUAAGUAGUACUAGAGUGGGGUUGAGAUAUACCAUGAAGAUAAUAUAUAGGAAGCAACAUGAUAUGUUUUUUUUAAAAUUAUACUGUAAUAACAUAUAAUUUUCCUAUUGUUGUAUUUAUUAUUUGUUUUAAUAUAUAUUCGUUUUUGCUUUGUAUGAGGGACUGUGAAAAUGAAAAAAAAAAAAACUAUGGAAAGAGCUGCAGCAAUGAGCUCAUAUUGAUUCCCAGAACUAACUGUGUGUUGAUGAGAGGCAGAAAUAUUAUUUAGGAAUGGCUUUUUUUGGUGUGUGUGUACGAAGUGAACAUAUUUAAUUUGUGCUGCAGAUUAUCUAUUUUUGAAAUAUUACAUAUUAUAUAUGUAAUAUAUAAUAUGACAAAAUAUUUUGGUCACACCCAUGCUGAGUAUGUGAAAAAUGAUAAUCAUUCAUAAUCCAACAUUUUGAUUCCUUAGAAUUCCAUCGAAAACAUUCAUAGGUUGAUGAUUAUUUUGGACCAUUUUAAUUUCAUGAAAACGUACAAACAUUUCCAUGAAGUCUGUCAGAGAAAUAUGAAUUACCAUACAUGGUGAUGAAACCCAUUCACUUUUGUUCUCUUCUCGUCUUAAAUUCUGCUGAAUUAAUUUCCUGCUUUGUUUCUGGAGCAUAUGUUGAGUUCGGUGGCACUCUAGUUCAGUCUAAUGUUCUUAUUGCUAAAAGAAGUCCACACCUUGGAGUGGAGUAUUUAUGUGUGCGUAUGUCUGAUACUCCUCGUAAUAGAAAUAAAUGAGUUUAAAAAAAUU